AUACGGAGGGAGCGAGCGUUAAUCGGAAUUACUGGGCGUAAAGCGCGCGUAGGCGGCUUUGUAAGUCGGAUGUGAAAGCCCUGGGCUCAACCUGGGAAUGGCAUUCGAUACUGCAUAACUAGAGUAUGGUAGAGGGAAGUGGAAUUUCCGGUGUAGCGGUGAAAUGCGUAGAUAUCGGAAGGAACACCAGUGGCGAAGGCGACUUCCUGGGCCAAUACUGACGCUGAGGUGCGAAAGCGUGGGGAGCAAACAGGAUUAGAAACCCGGGUAGUCC
rnacentral:rRNA from 1 species